GAUGAACGCUAGCGGCAGGCUUAAUACAUGCAAGUCGAGGGACAGCACAGGUAGCAAUACUGGGUGGUAACCGGCAAACGGGUGCGGAACACGUACACAACCUUCCUUUAAGUGGGGGAUAGCCCAGAGAAAUUUGGAUUAAUACCCCGUAAUAUAGUUGAAUGGCAUCAUUUGAUUAUUAUAGCUACGGCGCUUAAUGAUGGGUGUGCGGCUGAUUAGAUAGUUGGCGGGGUAACGGCCCACCAAGUCUACGAUCAGUAGCUGAUGUGAGAGCAUGAUCAGCCACACGGGCACUGAGACACGGGCCCGACUCCUACGGGAGGCAGCAGUAAGGAAUAUUGGUCAAUGGACGCAAGUCUGAACCAGCCAUGCCGCGUGAAGGAUUAAGGUCCUCUGGAUUGUAAACUUCUUUUAUUUGGGACGAAAAAGGGUCUUUCUAGGUCAACUGACGGUACCAGAUGGAUAAGCACCGGCUAACUCCGUGCCAGGCGCCGCGGUAACAC
rnacentral:rRNA from 1 species